CUUUGGCUGCUCCUACAACAAGAAACAAGAAUUUAAAAAGAACCCAUGGUUCUUGGCCUUCCUGUCCAUCUCCAUGGCAAUAGAAUUAUGGAGUCAAUGGGUCCUGAAUUUGCAAUGUUCUGGAUAGAAAGUUCUGCUCCCCUCUCACCACUCUCCACUCUCUACAAAGAUAAAAGUUAGGGGGUGUGGUUAAUUUUUGUGAAAGCCUGUCAGAAUACAGGACAGCACUGAGAACUUGUGGAGAUUCCCGGACAGCAGAUUCUGGGGAGAAGAAAUCCUCCUUGGAAGGUCCAGGCCAUCCCUGCCAGGCUUGUUGGAGAGCUACAGCCCCGAGCCUGGGAGGGCAGUUACUAAUCAGUCAGUCACGGCAGCAUCAAGCAAGCAGAGAAGGAAGGGAAUAAAAUGUCCUAGGAAGAUGGAAAUAGAUGUUUCAAAGCUUGAGAAGACCACCAGAGCAAGCAAUUCGGUUCAGUGGUCACUUAAGGAGUGAGGACUGAAACAAAAGGAGAAAGAAAGAUGGGAAGAAAGGAAAGUGGAAGGAGAAAGUGUGGAGCUAGGAGAUAAAGUCACUACUAAGUACCUGAAUAUGGAAGAAGUGAGAAAGAAAGAGGAAAAGGAGAAGAGGGGAAAAUAAGAUGCUGUCAGAUACGGGCAGGAGAAAUCCUUUAGAGUGCUUUGUGACCACCCAGAAGUAGAAGAAUAAAACUAACGCUAUUAAAAAGCAAUGGAAUCCCUGCCUACUGCUGUUUCUCUGCCUCACAAACUUCUUUUUUCCCCUUUAAAUGCAACAAUAUAUUAACACUCUGUCAGUUGAAGAGUGCUUUAUAAAUGGUAGAUGCUGUUUCUUGCUUAAACAACUGCUCUGAGUGCCUGAUAGAGCUAUAGGCACACCUGUUUAAAGCUCUGCAAGUCCCACUCACCCCCCGGAUUCGGAUCUUCAAAGCAACAACUGCAGACCCACCUGUGGCAGGCAGACUUCUAAGACGGCCCCCUGAGAUCCCUGCUUCCUAGAGUUCAUGCCCUGUGUAAUCUCCCCCUUUCCCUUGAGUAGGGGUUGGACCUCGUGACUCACUUCUAAUGAGUAGAAUAUGAUAAAUGUGAUGGCAUGUCACUGUCAAGAUUAGGUUACAGAAGACUGUGAUUUCCAUCUUGCUGGCACUCUCCUGCUUUCUCUCUCACUUGUUCACUCUGACGAAGCCAGUUGCCAUGUUGUCAGCUGCCUUACAGAGAAGUCAAUGUGGCAAGGAACUGCGGCCUCUGGCCAACAGCCAGCAAGGAACUGAAGCUCUCUGCCCAACAUCCUGCAAGGAACUAAAUCCUGCCAACAACCACUGAGUAAGUUUGGAAGCAGGUCAUGUCCCAGUCAAGUCUUGAGAUGACUGAGGCCCCAGCCAAUAGUAUGACUGCAACCUCAUGAGAGCACUUGAGCUGGAGACCUAGGUAAGCCAGGCCUGGACUCCUGACCAAGAGAAAUUGUAAGAUAACUGUGUACUAUUUACAGCUGCUAAGUUUUGGGAUAAUUUGUUACACAGCAGUAAAUACCUA
rnacentral:lncRNA from 1 species